UACGUAGGGUGCGAGCGUUGUCCGGAAUUAUUGGGCGUAAAGAGCUCGUAGGCGGUCUGUCGCGUCGAAUGUGAAAAACCCGGGGCUCAACUCCGGGCUUGCAUUCGAUACGGGCAGGCUAGAGUUCGGUAGGGGAGUCUGGAAUUCCUGGUGUAGCGGUGAAAUGCGCAGAUAUCAGGAGGAACACCGGUGGCGAAGGCGGGACUCUGGGCCGAUACUGACGCUGAGGAGCGAAAGCGUGGGGAGCGAACAGG
rnacentral:rRNA from 1 species